UUGCUGACGAGUGGCGGACGGGUGAGUAAUGUAUAGUUAAUGUGCCCCUUAGAGAGGGAUAACAGUUGGAAACGACUGCUAAUACCUCAUACUCCUUCUUUUUUAAUAAGAGUUGGGAAAUCUUUUUGGCUAAGGGAUCGGACUAUAUGGUAUCAGUUAGUUGGUGAGGUAAUGGCUCACCAAGACAAUGACACCUAGCUGGUCUGAGAGGAUGAUCAGCCACACUGGAACUGAGACACGGUCCAGACUCC
rnacentral:rRNA from 1 species